AACGAACGCUGGCGGCAUGCCUAACACAUGCAAGUCGAACGAUAUCUUCGGGUCUAGUGGCGCACGGGUGCGUAACGCGUGGGAAUCUGCCCUUUGGUUCGGAAUAACAGUUGGAAACGACUGCUAAUACCGGAUGAUGACGAAAGUCCAAAGAUUUAUCGCCAGGGGAUGAGCCCGCGUAGGAUUAGCUAGUUGGUGUGGUAAAGGCGCACCAAGGCGACGAUCCUUAGCUGGUCUGAGAGGAUGAUCAGCCACACUGGGACUGAGACACGGCCCAGACUCCUACGGGAGGCAGCAGUGGGGAAUAUUGGACAAUGGGCGAAAGCCUGAUCCAGCAAUGCCGCGUGAGUGAUGAAGGCCUUAGGGUUGUAAAGCUCUUUUACCCGGGAUGAUAAUGACAGUACCGGGAGAAUAAGCUCCGGCUAACUCCGUGCCAGCCGCCGCCGUAA
rnacentral:rRNA from 1 species